UAAUAAUAUAAUUUAAUUUAAUUAGUAUAAAUUAAUUUAUAAUUAUUAAUUUUAAGUUAAAGUUUAUUAGGUGAAAUUUUUAAAUUUUAAAAAAAUUAUUUUUUUAAUGAAGUUAAAAAAUUUAAUUAAUAAACUAGGAUUAGAUACCCUAUUAUUUUAAAUGUGUUUAAAUAGACUAAAUUAGUAUUAGUUAUGUUCUUGAAAAUUAAAGAUUUUGGCGGUAUUUUAGUCUAUUCAGAGGAACCUGUUCUAUAAUUGAUAGUCCACGAUUUAAUUUACUUUUUUUAUUAAUUUGUAUAUCGUCGUAAUUUGAAUAUUUUUUAAGAAUAAUAAUAUUCAAGAUUUUUUAUAAUAAAAAUAAAUCAGAUCAAGGUGCAGUUUAUAAAAAAGAAGAAAUGGGUUACAAUAAAAUUAUUUAAGGAUUAUUAUUUAUAAGGUAGUAUGAAUUUGGAUUUGAUAGUAAAUUUAAUUAAUUAAUUAGAUUGAUUUUAGCUCUAAAAU
rnacentral:rRNA from 1 species